rnacentral:pre_miRNA from 1 species
CUUGUACUCCCUCCGUCCGAAAAUACUUGUCAUUGAAAUGGAUGUAUCUAGACGUAUUUUAGUUCUAGACACAUCCAUUUUGAUGACAAGUAAUUCGAGACGGAGGGAGUACUUG